CCUUUGACAUGUAUGGAAGUUUCCAGAGAUGGAUUCGUGCUCGAAAGAGAGCCAUUAACACAGGUGCUGCAUGGCUGUCGUCAGCUCGUGUCGUGAGAUGUUGGGUUAAGUCCCGCAACGAGCGCAACCCUUGUCAUUAGUUGCUACAUUCAUUGGGCACUCUAAUGAGACUGCCGGUGACAAACCGGAGGAAGGUGGGGAUGACGUCAAGUCCUCAUGGCCCUUAUAGGUGGGGCUACACACGUCAUACAAUGGCCGGUACAAAGGGUCGCAAACCCGCGAGGGGGAGCCAAUCCAUCAAAGCCGGUCGUAGUCCGGAUCGCAGUCUGCAACUCGACUGCGUGAAGUCGGAAUCGCUAGUAAUCGUGGAUCAGCAUGUCACGGUGAAUACGUUCCCGGGUCUU
rnacentral:rRNA from 1 species